AUAUUUGUCGGACUACAUUCUUAAACUGGUCCGCAGCGUUCAGCCACCAUGUACAUCUUGAGGUCCGGAAAACCAAUUGCAGAGCUGAUUGAACGGCGGCCUGUACACUUUGCGCAGAGCUGUUCAAAGUCAGCUCGUUUCUAUCACGCGUCACUACACUCGUUGCAGAGCAAGAAAUCAAAACUCCCCCAACUCAUGGUCAAAAUGCCUGACGGCACUGAAAGGCCUAGGCAGACAGCCAUUUUCAAGCGGAUGCAAAUGGAGCGCUGGCGAGCUCAAAACGCUGCUGUAAAUGCAGCCGCUAAGGCCGCUGGGUUCAAGCAUGAUUGGAUCUACAAAAUGUCUGUCAUAGUGACUCGUCCGACAAUAGUCUUGCCUGAACCCGAACCAUGGGAAGCCGAAUAUGCCGAAUGGAGGGAAAAAUGGUAUGCGCCCAUAUAUGCGCAAAUUCCUGAUAUCUCGCCCCUGCUUGAAGACGAGUCGACACAUGGACCGAAUUUGACGAUGCCAAAAAACCGGCAGGGCCAAGGACAGUCUAUCAGCUUUCAACAGCAAUCGCAAGAGAGGUCAGAAGAAGUCAGAAGUCGUCUGACGGCGGCCGACCUGGCCAAUGACACGACCUCGUUAAGGAGAAAACUUGACCAAAAGCUCUAUUUCAUUGUCAAGAAAAAUCGUUCAGAGCAUCCGUGGCAAUUUCCUCAAUUUGCUUUCCCAGUCGAUCACAGUGAUCAAUCCCCCCCUUUGAGCGAAACCGCAAGCGCGGGUGCCUCAAAGGCUAUUGGAUCCACUGUAGAAGUUUACAUGACCGGUAAUUCUCCAUGUGGUUUCUAUACCUAUCCUAUCUCUCCUGAACUUCAGGUCAAGAACAAUGCCUAUGGUAUCAAAGUUUUUUUCUACAGAGGAUACUAUAUUAAAGGAACAGUCGAAAGAGAUUCGCGCUAUGUAGAUCACGCAUGGAUAACUGUACAAGAACUCUCCAAUUACUUCGAGGACAAAGUGCUGUGUAACUAUCUGAAAAAUAUUCUCAUUUGACAUCACCACGGCGACGCUCGUGUUCUACAACUUUAAGAAGCGGCUUUUUGGAUUUUCAGCCUAUUAUGGAUAAAUGCAUUUUGGACAUCAAAAAAGAUGAGCCGCAGAUAUUGCGCACUUCAGUUGAUAAGAAUGCGUAUAUUCAUUCAUUGCUAGUGCCUGGCAUAGUAAUACAAACCCGCCCUCUCAGCUCACAUUAUCCAGUCGGCGCCAGCCACAUUUUUGUGACAUUGAAAAGGCAGGCUUAAGCACACCGUCCUGCCAACAGAUUUACGGGCUACGAAUUAAACGAAAUAUUUUUUAG